GACUCUCGGCAACGGAUAUCUCGGCUCUCGCAUCGAUGAAGAACGUAGCGAAAUGCGAUACCUGGUGUGAAUUGCAGAAUCCCGCGAACCAUCGAGUCUUUGAACGCAAGUUGCGCCGAGGCCACUCGGCCGAGGGCACGCCUGCCUGGGCGUCA
rnacentral:rRNA from 1 species